GCCGCGAGGGACGUAUAUCGUACCAGUUGUUAUUGUUCCGACGAAGGAAGGCGAAGAAAGAAGCCGAAGCAACGAAGUUUCAGAAUGAGCUACAGCGAGAUCUUAAGAUGAAAGGCAGAGAUCUUAGAAAGUUUCAGAAAGGCAAGCAUCGUCACUAAGAUUCUGCUCGCGCAUUUCUGCCUUGCGAAGAAUUACUAAGCAAGAGCGAAGUGUGAUACAGAGCUAUGUGAAAACGAGUCUGCUUUCAAGGAGUUGGAUUUGCUGCAAGAGGAUGCAACUGUUUACAAAUUAGUUGGCCAUAUUCUUGUGAAGCAAGAUCUAUCAGAGCCAAAUGAAAAUGUUCGGAUGAGACUUGGUUAUCUCGCUGAUGAAUAGAAACGCACUGAUGCAAUUAUCGAAGAUUUGGAAGAGAAGCAGAUGAGCAAAAGAGAGAAGGUACAAAAGAAUGCAGUCAAUGAUUACGUCGUGCAAAUCAAUUACAUUUGGUUAGUAAUUUUUUAACUCAAAUUAACUGGUGUUCAACAUUCUAGAUAUCAUGUGUUUCUCAACUUAUAAUCAUCAGAGGAUUUCCAUUCUAUAAACCCUGGCGUUUGAUUGAAAAACGAAUCCAUUUCUGAACUUGUCGAGGUAAUUUUUAAA